CGUUCCGUCUGAGAUAUUAUAGCCUGUCAAACUGCGAUCGCAGUUAGUCACCGUAAAUUGGCUGUGUCUUUAAACGUUACCAAUUCCGGAAGGUGGGUUAUUAUCCAACCUCCUGGCAUCUCUAGCUCAGAUUGAGCACUUUCUUUGUCCUGGGUCCCCUGACUCGUUAUAUAUAUCUUGUUGUGCAUUGGAUGUCGUGUGUGUGCCCUCUACGUGUCACCUGCAUUUUACAACGGGAACCGUAUUGUCAAAUAUACUCCUUGGCUACACACAAUCCAACAUUCUUGCAACAACCCUCGACUUGCUACUCAACUGCUGCUUACAACAGCAGACUCGAUACGUUGAGCCAUCGACAAGUCAGGUUCCAACAGUA